AUGAUUCAUAUUUUUGUUUCCUUUUGUACCAACAGGGGAGGCUGGAGAAAAGGGGGAGAAGGGUGCUCCAGGUCGUCCAGGCAGAGUUGGGCCUCCAGGAGAAAAAGGAGAAAUGGGGGACAAAGGACAGAAAGGCAGCAUGGGACGGCAUGGAAAAAUUGGUCCUAUUGGUUCAAAAGGUAUGCUCAGUUCAAUUUUGUCUUCUCCAUUUGUGUUUCAGAUGAAAAAUCUGUAGUCAUUUACGUUUGAGAAAAGCUUAUGGAGUUGAACAAUGGUUAAUGAGUCUCAGAGUUUAUCAACCAGGGAGUUUCUCUGGUGUAGUCAGCCACAUGACUGGUAUCUCUCAGCCAGUUACCUUUCCCUCUGACAGCAGUAUAUUUAGCCUUGUGGCAGGGUAAGAAUCCUGGUUUAUGGUUAAAUAAAGAACUUUGUGUACUAUCACGCAAGUGUGGACAGUUAAGAGCAUCACAUGGGAGGAUGCACUGUAUUUUGGCAGACUUCUAAGCGCCAAUUCUAAUUGUAAUUCUGAAUUCUAAUCUUGCCUAUCCCGUAGGCUUCCUAUGUGACUUUGAUAAAGUCAUUUGGACCAAUGUUUACUUAAACAUCUAGAUUAUGAAUCUAGAUUUAAGCACCAGUGUAGCAUAUCCAGCCCUUUUCCCUCUACAGCAUCUGAAUGUACUGGUUCUGUGAAGUUCAUGAAUGUCAAAAAAUGGAUAUUGGUACAUAUUCUUUGUGUUCAAGUUUCAUAGCUUUGGCUGGACAGGAAAAAUUGUAUUUUUGUUUGGGUGUAUUUCUACUUUUCAUAUUUGAAUGUUACUAGAAAAAAAAUAAACCAGUGCUAAUGAACUGUUGACCAAAAAAGGUGCCUUAAAUUUAUGUUCUUUUUCAUGUCUUUAGGUGAAAAAGGAGACAUAGGUGACAUAGGACCACCAGGUCCUAAUGGUGACCCAGGUAAGCCAUGUAAUACCUUGUGUAUGUGAAGGAUUUCACAAGAUGCAUGUAUCAUCACCAAAAACACACGCCUGUUUGCAUACUGGGGGAGUGUCCUGGGUUCAGCAGUAGCAGUCAUUUUUCUCCUUCUCGGUAGCUGGUGCAGCGCUGUGUUUUUGAUUUGGGGCCUGGGAACAGUGCUGAUAACACCAGUGUUUUCAGUUACUGCCUGGUGAUAUUUAGGCUGGCCAAGGACUUUGUGAGUCUCAUGCUCUGCCAGGGAGGAGGGGAAGCCGGGAGGAAGGAGAGACGGGACACCUGACCCAGACUGACUAAAGAGGUUAUUCCAUACCACAGCACGUCAUGUUCA
rnacentral:lncRNA from 1 species